AUUGAACGCUGGCGGCAGGCCUAACACAUGCAAGUCGAACGGUAACAGGAAACAGCUUGCUGUUUCGCUGACGAGUGGCGGACGGGUGAGCAAUGUCUGGGAAACUGCCUGAUGGAGGGGGAUAACUACUGGAAACGGUAGCUAAUACCGCAUAACGUCGCAAGACCAAAGAGGGGGACCUUCAGGCCUCUUGCCAUCGGAUGUGCCCAGAUGGGAUUAGCUUGUUGGUGGGGUAACGGCUCACCAAGGCGACGAUCCCUAGCUGGUCUGAGAGGAUGACCAGCCACACUGGAACUGAGACACGGUCCAGACUCCUACGGGAGGCAGCAGUGGGGAAUAUUGCACAAUGGGCGCAAGCCUGAUGCAGCCAUGCCGCGUGUAUGAAGAAGGCCUUCGGGUUGUAAAGUACUUUCAGCGGGGAGGAAGGGAGUAAAGUUACUACCUUUGCUCAUUGACGUUACCCGCAGAAGAAGCACCGGCUAACUCCGUGCCAGCCGCCGCCGUAA
rnacentral:rRNA from 1 species